CAUGCGCCACGAGUGGUAUCCACAUUUAUUGGGUCUAAAGCGUUCGUAGCCGGUUAGGUAAAUUUUGUGUGAAAUCGUUGGGCUUAACCCAACGUCGUGCACGAAACACUACCAAACUUGAGACCGGGAGGGGGCAGAGGUAUUCCAGGGGGAGCGGUAAAAUGUUAUAAUCCCUGGAGGACCACCAGUGGCGAAGGCUUCUGUCCAGAACGGGUCUGACGGUGAGGAACGAAGGCUAGGGGAGCAAACCGGAUUAGAUACCCGAGUAGUC
rnacentral:rRNA from 1 species